UACAGAGGUCUCAAGCGUUGUUCGGAUUCAUUGGGCGUAAAGGGUGCGUAGAUGGCGCGGUAAGUCGGGUGUGAAAUCUCGGAGCUUAACUCCGAAAUUGCAUUCGAUACUGCCGUGCUCGAGGACUGGAGAGGAGACUGGAAUUCAUGGUGUAGCAGUGAAAUGCGUAGAGAUCAUGAGGAAGACCAGUGGCGAAGGCGGGUCUCUGGACAGUUCCUGACACUGAGGCACGAAGGCCAGGGGAGCAAACGGG
rnacentral:rRNA from 1 species